AAAAGAGUAAAGGAAAGCAACAAAAAGCGACCUGAGGAUUCAAAGACAUGUCCUUAUUUCCAGCAGCUUGAUGCAUUGUACAAACAGAAAUCCAAGAAAAUUGUCAACAAUCCAGCUAAUCCAAAUUACGAACUAAAACCCGAGGAACUAUUGAUGCACAUGAUGGGCGGCCAAGAAGAAAGCCACCAACCUGAAUCAGCAACAGACGACGGUGAAGCUGAGAAUGCCGAUCAGAACCAAGAAGACGAAGAUGAAGACGAAGAUUAUCAGAUUGUGGCCAACAACAACCGUAAUCAAAUGGAAGUUAACUAGCUGAAAAACAAACAAGCAGUGAAAUCAAAUGGCUCAAAUGUGGCAUUCUAUUCUUGCAAUCACUCAAGGUGGUAAAAAGGUCAGAUCCUUCAGCUCUUGAUUUUGAUAUUACAAAAAGAAAUGAUACUUCAUGGGAAUUGGAAUUUGUCUGUCUAUAUAUAUAUAUUAUGUAUAUCUUUCUUUAUUUCUUGAAUAGAUGAUGAUACUUGUAGGCUAGAAAGAGA
rnacentral:misc_RNA from 1 species